rnacentral:tRNA from 1 species
GCCACCCUAGCUCAGCUGGUAGAGCAAUCGAUUCGUAAUCGAUAGGUCGGGAGUUCGACUCUCCUGGGUGGCUCCA